ACAGAGGGUGCGAGCGUUAAUCGGAAUUACUGGGCGUAAAGCGCACGUAGGUGGUUUUGUAAGUUGGAGGUGAAAGCCCGGGGCUCAACUCCGGAAUUGCCUUUAAGACUGCAUCGCUCGAAUUGUGGAGAGGUAAGUGGAAUUCCGAGUGUAGAGGUGAAAUUCGUAGAUAUUCGGAAGAACACCAGUGGCGAAGGCGACUUACUGGACACAUAUUGACGCUGAGGUGCGAAAGCGUGGGGAGCAAACAGGA
rnacentral:rRNA from 1 species